CAGGAGCUGGAGCCAGACACAUUCAAAUGCGAGAUAAGGCACAUGCAGAGGAGCCAAACUUGGCCAGGUGUCGAGAAGACAGGUCUGCUGUGAAGAGUCACUAGUCUCACUGCAUUCUGAAGGCCUUCUUCCAUCUUUGCAGAAGACUUUUAGGUGCCUGCAAGUAUCUUGGACUACACCCGAGGUGUCUCAAUACUUUCUCCUGUGCUCUACAAAUGAAACUAAAACUGAGGGCUCAAGGAUUCACGUCAGUGAAGACCCUCCAAUUUUAAGUCACGGGUGAGACCCUCAUACUAAUCUUUGAGGGCAGGCUGGGCACUUGUUGUAAACCAACAGCAACAGCAUGCCUCAGUAUGAAUGCACAUAUGGUACCUACAAAAUACCAUGUGCUUCUUGAUUUGGAACCUCAGCAAUACCUUAGCAUACAGAGAACAUAAGAACCACAAGAAAAGGCCAUGGGAACAGGAAAAGACCCUUUUAAUUCCACCUUCCUGCUUUUUCAACCUCCUCCCCCAUCCCCUCCUUCUCCAGCAACAAAUGAAGGUGUCUGUGCAACUCAUUUACAUGCUUUGCUUAGACUGCCUACUCUGGUAAUUUAUUCCAUAUGUUUAUUGCCCUUUGUGUGCAAUAUUCCUGCCUGUGUUCCCUAUUUGCUUAUAAUUUCCUAAUUUUUCAGGUCCUAUCUCCUGUUUUUUGUUUUGUUUCAUUUUGUUUUGAACCUGCUCACCCAUGUGUGAUCUCUGUGAAAUUUCUGCUUACAGCAAAGUUAGCAGCCAAUGUUACUUUCAGCCUUUGCGAAGCAGUGCCUUGUUCAGGGGGACUAUGCUGAGGCUGCAGACAGGAUGGGACCUACUGGGAGAUGUAAUUAG